UUGAUGUGUAGGAUAGGUGGGAGGCUUUGAAGUGUGGACGCCAGUCUGCAUGGAGCCGACCUUGAAAUACCACCCUUUAAUGUUUGAUGUUCUAACGUGGACCCGUAAUCCGGGUUGCGGACAGUGUCUGGUGGGUAGUUUGACUGGGGCGGUCUCCUCCUAAAGAGUAACGGAGGAGCACGAAGGUUGGCUAAUCCUGGUCGGACAUCAGGAGGUUAGUGCAAUGGCAUAAGCCAGCUUGACUGCGAGCGUGACGGCGCGAGCAGGUGCGAAAGCAGGUCAUAGUGAUCCGGUGGUUCUGAAUGGAAGGGCCAUCGCUCAACGGAUAAAAGGUACUCCGGGGAUAACAGGCUGAUACCGCCCAAGAGUUCAUAUCGACGGCGGUGUUUGGCACCUCGAUGUCGGCUCAUCACAUCCUGGGGCUGAAGUAGGUCCCAAGGGUAUGGCUGUUCGCCAUUUAAAGUGGUACGCGAGCUGGGUUUAGAACGUCGUGAGACAGUUCGGUCCCUAUCUGCCGUGGGCGCUGGAGAACUGAGGGGGGCUGCUCCUAGUACGAGAGGACCGGAGUGGACGCAUCACUGGUGUUCGGGUUGUCAUGCCAAUGGCACUGCCCGGUAGCUAAAUGCGGAAGAGAUAAGUGCUGAAAGCAUCUAAGCACGAAACUUGCCCCGAGAUGAGUUCUCCCUGACUCCUUGAGAGUCCUGAAGGAACGUUGAAGACGACGACGUUGAUAGGCCGGGUGUGUAAGCGCAGCGAUGCGUUGAGCUAACCGGUACUA
rnacentral:rRNA from 1 species